CAACAAAUGCAUAUUUCAUCUCGUAUAACCUCGCAGGCCGAAAGUGUACACAGGGCGAGGGUCUCUACAGGAAGCCUAUACUUCCUAACUACGAUGCCAGGGAAUCAUUGU
rnacentral:ncRNA from 2 species